rnacentral:tRNA from 1 species
CUGGAAUAAAAAAAACAAUUUCGAAAUAGAAAUGAUUAAUAAAAAAUUUCUAUGGAAUUCUGAAAGAGCGAAA